UUGUAGUUUUAAAAAAUAGAA
rnacentral:piRNA from 1 species